rnacentral:misc_RNA from 1 species
AAGUCGUAACAAGGUUUCCGUAGGUGAACCUGCGGAAGGAUCAUUAUUGAAUGAAUGUAGAGUCGGUUGUAGCUGGUCUUCCAAAGACAUGUGCACGCCUUCUCUUUCAUCCACACACCCCUGUGCACUUGUUAGACGGAUGAUUGUUUCCCUUUUAUUAGGGGACGGUUUCCGUCUGCUAACACAUAAAACCAUAUUAAUUAAAUCUGAAUGUAAUUGAUGUAACGCAUCUAAUACAAAGUUUCAACAACGGAUCUCUUGGCUCUC